rnacentral:tRNA from 1 species
GAAAUAUAAUUUUUAAGCUUCUAACUUAAUUUAUAGUGGUUAAAUUCAUUAAUAUUUCU